rnacentral:rRNA from 1 species
AUUGAACGCUGGCGGCAUGCCUUACACAUGCAAGUCGAACGGUAACAGGUCUUCGGAUGCUGACGAGUGGCGAACGGGUGAGUGAUACAUCGGAACGUGCCUAGUAGUGGGGGAUAACUACUCGAAAGAGUGGCUAAUACCGCAUGAGAUCUACGGAUGAAAGCAGGGGAUCGCAAGACCUUGUGCUACUAGAGCGGCCGAUGGCAGAUUAGGUAGUUGGUGGGAUAAAAGCUUACCAAGCCGACGAUCUGUGGCUGGUCUGAGAGGAUGAUCAGCCACACGGGGACUGGGACACGGCCCAGACUCCUACGGGAGGCAGCAGUGGGGAAUUUUGGACAAUGGGCGAAAGCCUGAUCCGGCAAUGCCGCGUGCAGGAUGAAGGCCUUCGGGUUGUAAACUGCUUUUGUACGGAACGAAAAGCCCCGGGUUAAUACCCUGGGGUCAUGACGGUACCGUAAGAAUAAGCACCGGCUAACUACGUGCCAGCCGCCGCUGUAA